rnacentral:rRNA from 1 species
UGGGGGAUAUUGGACAAUGGGCGCAAGCCUGAUCCAGCAAUGCCGCGUGGGUGAAGAAGGUCUUCGGAUUGUAAAGCCCUUUCGGCGGGGACGAUGGUGACGGUACCCGCAGAAGAAGCCCCGGCCAACUUCGUGCCAGCAGCCGCGGUAAUACGAAGGGGGCUAGCGUUGCUCGGAAUGACUGGGCGUAAAGGGCGCGUAGGCGGGCCUCGCAGUCGGGCGUGAAAUCCCCGGGCUCAACCCGGGGCGGUCGCCCGAGACGCGGGGCCUGGAGUGGGGGAGAGGGUCGCGGAAUUCCCAGUGUAGAGGUGAAAUUCGUAGAUAUUGGGAAGAACACCGGUGGCGAAGGCGGCGACCUGGCCCUCGACUGACGCUGAGGCGCGACAGCGUGGGGAGCAAA